GAAGAAGCUGGCGGGAAGCCGGGCCGCGCGCCGCGCGCCGAGGAAUCGAUGAUUCGGCCUGUGGGCCGGGUCACUGCGGCGGGGCCCGGGGAGCGCCGAUAGCAUGGAUAGGCUCAGAGGGGCGCAGGGUUUUGGCGGCUUCCCAGUUCCCCUCGCCGACCGCCAUGUCACAUCUUACGGAAGAGGCGGGGGCUGCCGCGGAGAGGAUAUUUUUUUGUUUUGUUUUGUUUUCACAAGACAAGAACAGCUACUAAACAGAUGAUUUAAAGUGAUUACUUAAAAGUAAAAGGACAGGAUAGAAGAAUAAAGACUGCUUUCGAGAAAAUGAUUGUCUUGGUCACUUUUAGUACUAUGAAGAGAUGUCAUUACUAAGGUAACUCUAAAGAAAUAAAGCAUUUAGUUGGGGCUUGCUUACAGUUUUUAGAGGUGUGAUCCAUUAUCAUCAUAGGCCAGGAGCAUGGCAGUAAGCAAGUGGACAUUGUGCGGGAAAAGCUCCUGAGACUGAACUACAGGCAGAGAGAUCAACAUGGGCUUCUGAACCUCCAAAGCCCACCCAGUGACAAUGGGGCUGGUGACUAAGCAUUUAAAUAUGUGCGCCCAUGAGAGCCAUUCUUAUUCAAACCGCUGCAGUGACUUUAAGAUUUGAAGAAGAGUAUCUGUUUCAACAGUAGUAGGGAACUCAGAGAAAAUCUAAAUGAUAAUAAAGUGAGUAAAAAAAAAAAUCGAUAAUUGAGCUUCAAAAUUAAUAGAAGAUAAAUUUGUGUGAGCAUGGCAUAAAAUAAAAGGAUGGACUGAGAGCAUAAAAAAGAGUUGCUAAUAAGAACAACUAAAGAAUGAGAUUCAAGAAAUUGAAAACCUACAGACUCUAGUCUACUAUUUGAUUUGGCCAUUCAUUGAGACAUGAAAUACUCAGGUUGGAAAAGAUAAAUCUAAGAAUCUUGAGACCCUCAGUUUCUGAAGGAUGCCAGUUCUAAAGGAUAGAUAGUAGAAUAGAGCUGAGGAGUGUCUCGUCCUCUCCUGAGGAUGUCCUCAGUCAUCUGGAAAGGGAUACAAGUGAAGCAGCUCAGGGAUCCUCAGUCCCUAGCACAAAUAAACCUGACCUCCACUCCCAUCCUCCAGGAAAAACUGACCUGGUUGGCAAUAUUUUCCCCCUAAAAGUUUUUAAAGAGUAGGAAUAAAGUUAGUUCAUCAUCAAUAAAAAUGUUACAAAGUUUACACAAGGACAAGUGUAGUUUGUGUUCAGAAACACCAGCUCAAACAUUUUCACGUAUAUUAAAUGUGCAUUUUAUUAUUUAGUUCUAAUCUUUUUGAGUUAUUACUUUACCUUUUCAUCAAUGCCCUAGUAUUCCUAAAGUCCUUUGUUAGAUUCUCUGGGUGAUUCUAAAAAGAAAAACAAGACAUAGCCCAGGGCUCAAGCAUUGCACUGCUGUUGACGCAUGUUGUAAGUUUCUUGACACUGAGAACCAUACUUGAUAUUUACUUUUUUCUUUGCACAGUAAUAAACAUUUGGCUGUUGAUGCAGAAAUCCUUUUUUCUCACUAGCCUCUGCAUUGCACCAUUUGUUGAGUAAACAGUGCCCAAUCUGGCCACUUCUCUAUAUGACUUAAACAAAACAUGCAGCUGUCUGAACCAGUUAAUAUUCUCUAAAGCCAUCAGGAACAGCAGUGUCCAGCUUGUUGAAGGUAGAAAGAAAUCUUAUGUGUAAAGACCAGCCUGCCAGGAAAUAGUGUGCUACCUUGUUCUUUGAAGUUUAUAAAGAACUGUUGUAUAUCUUUAUUUUCACAUUUACA
ensembl:processed_transcript RIKEN cDNA E130307A14 gene